AUAGUACUUCCUUCGUCCGGAAAUACUUGUCAUCAAAAUGGAUAAAAGGGGAUGUAUCUAGACGUAUUUUAGUUUUAAAUACAUCUCUUUUUAUUCAUUUUUGAACGGAGGGAGUAUCUA
rnacentral:pre_miRNA from 1 species